rnacentral:rRNA from 1 species
UACGUAGGGUGCGAGCGUUGUCCGGAAUUAUUGGGCGUAAAGAGCUCGUAGGCGGUCUGUCACGUCGGAUGUGAAAACACGGGGCUACCACCGUGCCUGCAUUCGAUACGGGCAGACUAGAGUUCGGUAGGGGAGACUGGAAUUCCUGGUGUAGCGGUGAAAUGCGCAGAUAUCAGGAGGAACACCGGUGGCGAAGGCGGGUCUCUGGGCCGAUACUGACGCUGAGGAGCGAAAGCGUGGGGAGCGAACAGG